AGGUCCGGCAUAAUCUCGGGAAACUGAGGAUAAUUCCGGAUAGCUCUUUUUGGCUGGAAUUGCAUUAAGAGUCAAAGUUCUUCGCCUAAGGAUGGGUCUGCGGCCUAUCAGGUAGUAGAGGGUGUAACGCACCUUCCAGCCGACAACGGGUACGGGUUGUGAGAGCAAGAGCCCGGAGAUGGAUUCUGAGACAUGAAUCCAGGCCCUACGGGGCGCAGCAGGCGCGAAAACUUUACAAUGCAGGAAACUGUGAUAAGGAAACACCGAGUGCCCGCAUCUAAUGCGGGCUGUCCAUAUACUCAAAAAGUAUGUGUUAGCAAGGGCCGGGCAAUACCGGUGCCAGCCGCCGCGGUAAUACCGGUGGCCCGAGUGGUAGCCGCUUUUAUUUGGUCUAAAGGGUCCGUAGCCGGUCCGGUCAGUCCAUUGGUAAAUCCGCGCGCCCAACGCGCGGUCUUCAGUGGAUACUUCCGGACUUGGGACCGGGAGAGGUAAGAGGUACUAUAGGGGUAGGAGUGAAAUCUUGUAAUCCUUAUGGGACCACCUGUGGCGAAGGCGUCUUACCAGAACGGGUCCGACGGUGAGGGACGAAAGCUGGGGGCACGAACCGGAUUAGAUACCCGGGUAGUCCCAGCCGUAAACUAUGCCCGCUGGGUGUCAGGCAUGGCGUGACUGUGUCUGGUGCCGUAGAGAAGUCGUGAAGCGGGCCACCUGGGAAGUACGGCCGCAAGGCUGAAACUUAAAGGAAUUGGCGGGGGAGCACUACAACGG
rnacentral:rRNA from 1 species